rnacentral:rRNA from 1 species
AUGGCACAGUCUGCUGUGAGCGCUGUUCUUGGGAACGUGGGUAAUCUUGCUGUUCAGGAGACCAGUUUCUUAUGCGGGGUCACACUUGAAGUGGCCUUCUUGAAAUAUGAGCUGAUCAGGCUGCAGGGCUACCUUAGAGACGCCGAGAGCAAACGUAGAUCUGGAAUUGAAACAGUUGCUAUCUUGUUGAGCCAGAUCAGGGAUGCUGCAUAUCAGGCUGAGAAUGUCAUCGAAGCUGCAGAUUACAUGAAGAAGAGAAACAUGAUCAAGAAGGGCUUCAUGGGAGCAAUUUCAAGGUAUGCUCGCUUACCGAGUGACUUGAAUACCCUUCAUAAAAUUGGUGUUGAAAUUCAGCGUAUAAGAAGGAAGCUUGAUGAGAUAUUUCAGAGCAUAGAACGCUUGAAUAUUGAUUUGGAUAGUGAUCAUGUUAUGGAUGAUUCUGUAGAAGAUUGUGGCCUUAUGCACCAGCACUGUAAGGAUGAUGUUACAAUGGUUGGUUUUGAGGAUGAGUACAAAGAAAUAGUGGAUAAACUAGUGGAGGGAGAAAAUAUGCUUAGUGUUGUCUCCAUAGUUGCAAUGGGUGGGGCAGGAAAGACAACACUUGCUAGAAAAGUAUACACUUCAUCUGGAGUGAAACAACACUUUCAGUCACUUGUUUGGGUAACUGUAUCUCAAAAGUUCAAGGUCAUUGAUUUGCUAAAGGAGAUUUUGAAGCAAAUACUGAGUGACGAAGACGAGUCUCCAAAAAUUGAUGACAUGAAUGAGUAUGAGGUGCGAAAGAAGAUCCAUGAUAUCCUCAUCCAGAAAAGAUACCUGUUAGUUCUCGAUGAUGUGUGGGAAACAGACACAUGGGAGCAAAUAAAUAGAACAAUUAAGGCCUUCCCAGAUGCAGCUAACUGUAGUAGAGUACUGCUAACCACUAGAAAAGGAGAUGUUGCCAAUCAUGUUGAAAUGCCAACCCAUGUUCAUGCUUUAAAGAGUUUAGAUGAAGAGAAAAGUUGGCUGCUUUUUAGUAGCAAAGCUUUACCUUCAUACAGAAUAUCAGGCAUACGUGAUCUGGAUAAAUAUGAAGAACUGGGAAGAAAGCUUACAAGGAAAUGUGACGGAUUACCACUUGCACUUGCAGUUUUAGGGAGUUACCUAUCAAAGAAUCUCAACACACAAGCAUGGACCGAUGUGUUACUGUGUUGGCCAUCAAGCAAGGACACACAGAUGAUGCGAGGCAUAAUAGCUCGCAGUUACAAGGACUUACCAAAUCACUACUUAAGAUCUUGUUUGCUCUAUCUUGCUGCUUUUCCCGAGGACUACAUAAUAUCUGUGUCGGCUCUUAUUAAUCUAUGGAUAGCAGAAGGCUUCAUUCCACAUACACCUAGGCAUACCGUAGAAAAAACAGCUCGUAUGUAUGUAAGUGAGUUGGCUCAAAGAAGCUUUGUGCAAGUCGUUCAAACAAGCAUUAUACAUGAAUAUGCUAAGGAAAUAAGGAUUCAUGAUAUCAUACGUGAUUGGUGCAUAGAAGAGGCAACGAAAGAUGGUUUCCUUGAUGUAAUCCAUGAAACUACUAGUGGACAAGUUGGUGCAUCAUCAUCUCAUAAACAAAUAUUCUAUCGUUCUUCUUUCCACAACUUGAGUGGAAAGAUCUUACAUGCACCACCUAAUCUCAGAGCAUUGUUUGGUGUUGGACUUUCAUCAGUAUCUUUACCUGAGCUAAGGUUUCUAAGAGUUCUUCAUGUUGAGAACUCGAGCCUAGAGAAUUUCGACGAGGUAAUUGGUGGGUGCAUUCACCUACGACACCUGAGGUUGAGAGGAUGUCGAGACAUGAUUGUUCCUUCUUCAAUCAGGAAACUCCUUUAUCUGCAAACUAUAGAUGUGCCAAAUUUAUAUGUAUCAAGCUCCGUUUGGGAUAUACCUACUCUAAGAUAUGUACAUCUUUAUAGUAUUUCUCUGCCAAGGCGUGUGCAAAUUCCACAAACCCUACGGGAGCUUCGUAUGGCUCCUCAUGAUGAUGAAGCUGGAAAUGACCCGAUGCCGAUCCUAGAGAUGCUUCCUUGUCUUGUGGUGCUGGAGUUGUGGUCUUAUAAACCCGCAACAAUGUCCUUUGGUGCCCAAGGGUUCCCUUGUCUGCAAAAGUUACGACUUGAGGACUGUGUCUUUAACAAGUGGACGAUGGAGGUUGGGGCAAUGCCACAGCUAUCAUGCCUGUCAUUUUCAGAUUGCAUGCUGGGUGAAGAAAUCCCUGAUGGAUUCUGCACCUUCCAUGCCUCAGCUUCGUAUUAG